AUUUUGUUUCUAAGUUUACCCGGU
rnacentral:sRNA from 1 species